GGAUGAACGCUAGCUACAGGCUUAACACAUGCAAGUCGAGGGGCAGCAUGGUCUUAGCUUGCUAAGGCCGAUGGCGACCGGCGCACGGGUGAGUAACACGUAUCCAACCUGCCGUCUACUCUUGGACAGCCUUCUGAAAGGAAGAUUAAUACAAGAUGGCAUCAUGAGUCCGCAUGUUCACAUGAUUAAAGGUAUUCCGGUAGACGAUGGGGAUGCGUUCCAUUAGAUAGUAGGCGGGGUAACGGCCCACCUAGUCUUCGAUGGAUAGGGGUUCUGAGAGGAAGGUCCCCCACAUUGGAACUGAGACACGGUCCAAACUCCUACGGGAGGCAGCAGUGAGGAAUAUUGGUCAAUGGGCGAGAGCCUGAACCAGCCAAGUAGCGUGAAGGAUGACUGCCCUAUGGGUUGUAAACUUCUUUUAUAAAGGAAUAAAGUCGGGUAUGGAUACCCGUUUGCAUGUACUUUAUGAAUAAGGAUCGGCUAACUCCGUGCCAGCAGCCGCGGUAAUACGGAGGAUCCGAGCGUUAUCCGGAUUUAUUGGGUUUAAAGGGAGCGUAGAUGGAUGUUUAAGUCAGUUGUGAAAGUUUGCGGCUCAACCGUAAAAUUGCAGUUGAUACUGGAUAUCUUGAGUGCAGUUGAGGCAGGCGGAAUUCGUGGUGUAGCGGUGAAAUGCUUAGAUAUCACGAAGAACUCCGAUUGCGAAGGCAGCCUGCUAAGCUGCAACUGACAUUGAGGCUCGAAAGUGUGGGUAUCAAACAGGAUUAGAUACCCUGGUAGUCCACACGGUAAACGAUGAAUACUCGCUGUUUGCGAUAUACUGCAAGCGGCCAAGCGAAAGCGUUAAGUAUUCCACCUGGGGAGUACGCCGGCAACGGUGAAACUCAAAGGAAUUGACGGGGGCCCGCACAAGCGGAGGAACAUGUGGUUUAAUUCGAUGAUACGCGAGGAACCUUACCCGGGCUUAAAUUGCAGAUGAAUUACGGUGAAAGCCGUAAGCCGCAAGGCAUCUGUGAAGGUGCUGCAUGGUUGUCGUCAGCUCGUGCCGUGAGGUGUCGGCUUAAGUGCCAUAACGAGCGCAACCCUUGUUGUCAGUUACUAACAGGUUCCGCUGAGGACUCUGACAAGACUGCCAUCGUAAGAUGUGAGGAAGGUGGGGAUGACGUCAAAUCAGCACGGCCCUUACGUCCGGGGCUACACACGUGUUACAAUGGGGGGUACAGAGGGCCGCUACCACGCGAGUGGAUGCCAAUCCCCAAAACCUCUCUCAGUUCGGACUGGAGUCUGCAACCCGACUCUACGAAGCUGGAUUCGCUAGUAAUCGCGCAUCAGCCACGGCGCGGUGAAUACGUUCCCGGGCCUUGUACACACCGCCCGUCAAGCCAUGGGAGCCGGGGGUACAAGAAGUGCGUAACCGCGAGGAGCGCCCUAGGGUAAAACUGGUA
rnacentral:rRNA from 1 species